rnacentral:rRNA from 1 species
GAUCCUGGCUCAGAAUCAACGCUGGCGGCGUGCCUAACACAUGCAAGUCGCACGAGAAAGCGGGCUUCGGCCUGCAAGUACAGUGGCGCACGGGUGAGUAACACGUGAAUCAUCUACCUCCGAGUGGGGAAUAACCUAGGGAAACCUGGGCUAAUACCGCAUAACACUUACGAGUCAAAGCAGCAAUGCGCUUGGAGAGGAGUUCGCGGCAGAUUAGCUAGUUGGUGGGGUAAUGGCCCACCAAGGCGAUGAUCUGUAUCCGGCCUGAGAGGGCGCACGGACACACUGGAACUGGAACACGGUCCAGACUCCUACGGGAGGCAGCAGUGGGGAAUUUUGCGCAAUGGGGGAAACCCUGACGCAGCAACGCCGCGUGGAGGAUGAAAUCCCUUGGGAUGUAAACUCCUUUCGAUCGGGACGAUUAUGACGGUACCGGAAGAAGAAGCCCCGGCUAACUUCGUGCCAGCAGCCGCGGUAAUACGAGGGGGGCAAGCGUUGUUCGGAAUUAUUGGGCGUAAAGGGCGCGUAGGCGGUUUGACAAGUCUGAUGUGAAAUCUCUGGGCUCAACCCAGAGUCUGCACUAGAAACUGUCGGGCUUGAGUAUGGGAGAGGUGAGUGGAAUUUCCGGUGUAGCGGUGAAAUGCGUAGAUAUCGGAAGGAACACCUGUGGCGAAAGCGGCUCACUGGACC